CGUAGGUGGCAAGCGUUGUCCGGAUUUACUGGGCGUAAAGGAUGCGUAGGUGGAUAUUUAAGUGGGAUGUGAAAUACCCGGGCUCAACUUGGGUGCUGCAUUCCAAACUGGAUAUCUAGAGUGCGGGAGAGGUAAGUGGAAUUCCUAGUGUAGCGGUGAAAUGCGUAGAGAUUAGGAAGAACACCAGUGGCGAAGGCGACUUACUGGACUGUAACUGACACUGAGGCAUGAAAGCGUGGGGGAGCAAACAGGAUU
rnacentral:rRNA from 1 species